UACGAAGGGGGCUAGCGUUGCUCGGAAUCACUGGGCGUAAAGGGUGCGUAGGCGGGUCUUUAAGUCAGGGGUGAAAUCCUGGAGCUCAACUCCAGAACUGCCUCCGAUACUGGGAGUCUUGAGUCCGGGAGAGGUGAGUGGAACUGCGAGUGUAGAGGUGAAAUUCGUAGAUAUUCGCAAGAACACCAGUGGCGAAGGCGGCUCACUGGCCCGGUACUGACGCUGAGGUGCGAAAGCGUGGGAGCAACAGGAUAGAAC
rnacentral:rRNA from 1 species